rnacentral:rRNA from 1 species
GCACAAGCGGUGGAGCAUGUGGUUUAAUUCGACGCUACGCGAAGAACCUUACCUGGGCUUGAACUGCUGGUGGUAGAAGCCCGAAAGGGUAACGACCCGGAGCAAUCCGGGAGCCAGUAGAGGCGCUGCAUGGCUGUCGUCAGCUCGUGUCGUGAGAUGUUGGGUUAAGUCCCGCAACGAGCGCAACCCUUACCCUUAGUUGCCAGCAGGUAAUGCCGGGCACUCUAAGGGGACCGCCCCGGAUAACGGGGAGGAAGGCGGGGAUGACGUCAAGUCAGCAUGGCCCUUAUGUCCAGGGCUACACACGUGCUACAAUGGGCGAUACAGAGGGAAGCAAGGCCGCAAGGUAGAGCUAAUCCCUAAAGUCGUCCUCAGUUCGGAUUGCAGGCUGCAACUCGCCUGCAUGAAGUCGGAAUCGCUAGUAAUCGCGGAUCAGCUACGCCGCGGUGAAUACGUUCUCGGGCCUU